rnacentral:tRNA from 1 species
GGGAAUGUGGCUUAGUGGUAGAGUGCUUGUCUAGCAAGCAUGAAGCCCUGAGUUCAAUUCCUCAGUACCA